GGGGUGCGGCACGUGGAGCCGGUUCCAGCAUGGCGCGGAGCGGGCGGCUCCGCUCGGGGGCCGCCGCCAAGCUGAAGCGGUGGCGGAAGGGCCACAGCAGCGACAGCAACCCGGAGACCCGCCAGCACCGCCUGGCAGCGCGCAGCCGCUUCUACAGCCGGCCGGCGGAGAAGAGCAACCUGACGGUGGACGCGGUGAAGCUGCACAAUGAGCUGCAGUCGGGGCCCUCGCGUGCGGAGCGGCCGAGUGCCAGCGCUCGGCUCCGCAUGGAGGAGGAGGAGGACGCCGGGGAGGCUGCCACGGAGAAGUCCUCUGGCACCUUCCUGAGCGGGCUGAGCGACUGCACCAACGUCACCUUCAGCAAGGUGCAGCGCUUCUGGGAGUCCAACUCCGCCGCUCACAAAGAGAUCUGCGCCGUGCUGGCAGCGGUGACGGAGGUGAUCCGCUCCCGGGGGGGCAAGGAGAGCGAGACGGAGUACUUCGCCACACUGAUGACCACGCUGGAGGCCGUGGAGUCCCCUGAGUCGCUGGCUGCUGUCGCCUACCUGCUUAACCUUGUCCUAAAGCGAGUCCCAAGUCCUGUGCUUAUAAAAAAGUUCUCAGAUGCCUCAAAAGCCUUCAUGGGUAUCGUCUCCUCGCAGGCCUGCAACAGCUCCACCUCUGCCCUGCGAUGGGUCCUCUCUUGCCUGGCCACACUGCUGAGGAAGCAGGACUUGGCAGCCUGGAGCUACCCCGUCACCCUCCAGGUCUAUCACGGCUUGCUGAGCUUCUGUGUUCAUACCAAGCCUAAGGUGAGGAAAGCAGCACAGCACGGUGUGUGCUCCGUCCUGAGGGGCAGCGAGUUCAUGUUUGGAGACAUGGCCCCUGAGCAUCACCCCGCAGCACCUUCCACCGCUAAGUUCUGUGUGCAGGAGAUCGAAAAAGCCGGAGGCACCAAGGAGGCCACCACCACCCUCCACAUCCUCACCCUGCUGCGGGACCUGCUGCCCUGCUUCCCCGCAGCCGUGGUGAAGACCUGCUGUGAGACCUUGCUCCGAGUCAUGACUCUCAGCCACGUGCUGGUGACGGCGUGUGCCAUGCAAGCCUUCCACAGCCUCUUCAGUGCCCAGGCCAACGUGACCUGCCUGCCGGCUGAGCUGAACGCCCAGAUCGUCACCGCCCUCUACGACUAUGUGCCCAGCACGAGUGACCUGCAGCCGCUGCUGACCUGGCUGUCCACCAUGGAACGGGCACACACCAACCUGGGCAGGCUGCAGAAGGACCUGUGCUGGGCUCACCUGCCCCGGCUCUUCUCGGCCGCCAUGAACUGCUUCCUCUCCCCACACUCCCAGGUGGUGUCAGCAGCAGCGCAGACCCUGGAGAUACUCCUGACCGAGUGCAUUGCUCCCCACAUGGAUGACCUGGGCACCGUCUCUGCAUCUGCCCCAGCCCCUGCCAGCUACCUCUGCAAGAUGUUCAGAUCAGUGGAGGAGGGCCUGACGUAUCGUUUCCACGCGGCGUGGGACAAGGUGCUGCGGGUGCUGGAGGUCUUCUUCAGGAGGUGUGGGAAGCAGUGCCACCCCAUCAUGAGGAAGUGUCUCCGGUCCCUCUGUGACCUACGUCUCUCCCCACACUUUCCCUACACGGCUGAAGUGGACCAGGCAGUGGGGGCUGCCGUGAGUGCCAUGGGCCCUGAGGUGGUGCUGGAAGCCGUGCCCCUGGAGAUCGAUGGCAAGGAGGAGACACUGGAUUUCCCCCGCAGCUGGCUCCUGCCAGUGCUGCGGGACUACGUGCAGGGCGCACGGCUGGGCUUCUUCACCAGCUACUUCUUGCCCUUGGCAGCUGCUCUGAAGAACAGAGCCACGGAAUUUACCCAGGCUGGGAAGAGCGUGGAGGCCAAGAUCUACGACACACUGCAGUGGCAGGUCUGGACCCUGCUGCCUGGCUUCUGCACCCACCCCACAGAUGUGCUGGGGUCCUUCAAGGGGCUGGCCCGCACCCUGGGCAUGGCCAUCAGCGAGCGCCCGGACCUGCGCCCCACCGUGUGUCAAGCCCUGCGCACCCUCAUCCACAAAGGAUGCGAGACAGAUGCAGAGCGGGCAGAAGUGGGUCGCUUUGCCAAAAAUUUCUUGCCCAUCCUGUUCAACGUGUACAGCCAGUCCGAGGAGGACGGGGGCAGCAGUGCUCAGCGCCGCUCCGUGCUGGACACUGUCCGAGCUUACUUGACCGUCACCGAUCCCCAGAUGGUGUGUGGGUUCCUGCAGAAAGCCAGCGAGAAGCUGACCAGUCCUGAGAGCUCUGAGUUUACCAGACUCUCCAUCCUGGACCUGGUGGUGGCAAUGGCACCCUACGCUGAUGAGCAGUCCCUGGCUUCCCUGUACUGCACCAUCCAGCCUUCCCUCCAGAGCAAGGAACGCAGCAUGCAGAAGAAGGCGUACCGUGUGCUGGAGGAGGUGUGUGCUGCUCCCCAUGCCCCCUGCCAGGCCUUCAUCCGCUCCCACCUGCAGGACCUGCAGACAGCUCUCCUGGACUCGCUCAAGAGCGCGGCGUCCCCGGCCAAGAGGCCCCGCCUGAAGUGCCUGCUCCACAUCGUGAAGCAGCUCUCCGCAGAGCACGAGCCCUUUGUCACUGCCCUGGUCCCGGAGGUGAUCCUCUGCACCAAGGAGGUGUCGGUGGGGGCCCGCAAGAACGCCUUCGUGUUGCUCGUGGAGAUGGGGCAUGCCUUCAUCCGCUUUGGGCCCACACCCCAAGAGGGCAUGGAGCGGUUCCUGCUCCUGAUCUACGCAGGGCUCACGGGCUCCGUCACCAUGAUCAGCUGCACAGUCCUGGCAUUGACCCGCUUGUUCUUCGAGUUCAAAGAUCAUCUGGAGCUGAGUGUGGUGGAGCAGCUCCUGCAGAACAUCUGCCUGCUGCUGGCCUCCCGCACACGGGACGUGGUGAAGGCGGCCCUGGGCUUCCUCAAAGUCACACUGCUGCUGGUGGACCCCAAGCUGCUGGCCAAGCACGUCCAGACGAUGCUGGAGGCCAUUGGGAACCUUUCAGACGACAUGAGACGCCAUUUCCGUAUGAAGCUACGAAACCUCUUCACCAGGUUCAUCCGCAAGUUCGGCUUUGAGCUGGUGAAGGGGCUGCUGCCGGCCGAGUACCACAAGGUGCUGGUCAACAUCCGCAAGGCGGAAGCCCGAAGCCGCAAGCAGCGCGCCCUGAAGCAGGCAGCUGCAAAUACGGAUGAAGAGGAGGCACCACCUGCACAGCCCAGAGGAGAGAGCAUGGAGGAGAUCCUGGCUGACUCAGAGGAUGAGGAGGAGGAAGAGGAGGAACGGCAGCGGAGCAAGGAGAGGAGGAAGCAAGCCCGGCAGAAGGGACAGGCCUGGCUGAAGGAAGGGGAAGAGGAUGAGCCCCUCAACUUCCUGGACCCCAACGUGUCCCAGCGGGUGCUGGCCACCAAGCCAGGCCCCAAGCGGUCCAGAGGAGUGAGCCAUGACUUCCAGGUGUCUGAGGAUGGGCGCCUGAUCAUCCAUGAAGAAGAGGAUGAGGUGGACGAUGAUGAAGCCAAAGGAACAGACGAGGAGAUGGAAGAUGUGCUGCAAGAUGUGGGACUCCGCAGUAAGAAAAGCCAGAAGCGUCGGUUCAGAGAGGAGCCAGACGAUGAGGAAGCUGAGGCUGGGACCUACCCUAAGUACAGAGCUGGAGGCUCUGGGAUCCACCGGCAGCUGGGCAAGGAGCCAGCCAUCGGUGCAGAGUACAGAUCCAAGAAAGGCAAAGGCGACGUGAAGAAGAAGGGCCAGCUCGACCCCUAUGCCUAUAUCCCCCUGAACAGAGCUAAACUCAACAGAAGGAAGCGGGCGAAAAUGCAGGGCCAGUUCAAGGGCCUGAUGAAGGGAGCCCAGCGCGGGGCCAAGGCCGGCCGCAGGAACCGUCUGAAGGCCCAGCGCCCCUGAGGAGCUUCAGGUGCUCAGCCUGCCCCUGCCCAAGGACGGACAACACCAUGUGGCCUCUGGGCACGAGGGAAUGGGGGCUUCAUGAGUGGAGCAGGGGGCACUCCUCUGCAGAAGGUGGCCUGCGUCUGUUUGAGGCUUGGUGGGAAGCCACCCUGUGGCAUUACGGACUCUUGGCCCAAGCCCUGCCCUCCUGUGCCUGGAGGAAAGGUGCUGGGUUGCCUGGCACAGGGGGUGUGUGUGUGUGUGUGUGUGUGCGGGUGUGUGUGAGGCAAAUAACAUGUAAUGAAUUCUCUAUAUUGAUAAAUACCUACUGUUCCUACCUAGCCCAGAUUCAUCCUUUCCUUCCCCUAAAAGCAGUGUGCACCCUGUCCCUUGUGCUCUGCCUGCAAUGGGUCCUGCUGUGCCCCACAGGGCUCACGCCUGCAGCAGCCUGGGCUGGAGCCCUCUCCCCAGCGUGGAGCUCGCUUGGGGGCUGCCAGGAGCAGUGCUGGGGCACAGGGCAGUGUCCUGUGCCCACCUGGCAGACGGGCUGAGUCGUGGGGUUGGCCAAAGGGAGAAGCCACAGACGGUGAAAAGUCCUUUGCUACAACCAGCUUCCUCGUGGAGUCUCCCUCUUGGCAGCAUCUUCUCCUCUCUUCUGUGCCGUGGCGGGAAUGUCUGCUAUUUGCCUGUAACUGUUUUUGAUGCUGCCUCUUGCUUUUCUCAUAUCAGCUGUGCCUGGUUGUGGGGCAGAACAGUUUGCUGCAAAUUUCUUCAAAGUGGCUGGAAAACUGCUACUGCUAACCUCCGUGCCUUCCCCUUUCCGUGAGAGCUGAGAAAAUCCCUUUCCUCUGCUCUGGCCGCCUCCUGCCAGCUGGGCUUGAGCAGCGCAAAUAAUCCUCGACCUUUUUAGCUGCCCAGCCGUCUCAGGUUGGCCUCAGCAUCUGUUUUUGUCCAGUUAUUUCUGCACAGAGCCCAAAAGAUGGUGUUUGGCUAAAGCACGCCAGUAGAUCUGAGCGUGUGGAUACAGGUCCUGUUGCUCAGACUGCAAAGAACAUGUAUUUGUGAAGGUAGCUGGCUCUCCCUUCCUCUUCUAUAUUAAAAAGCCUUUAGUCCUUUGUCAUUUCUUGCCGUGGUAGCUUACAUGCUGGAAUUGCAACCCUUCUCAGUCUCCUAAUAAGCUAAAGGGAUUGUGCUUGUUCAGCCUCUUACUGCAGGCUGCAAAUCCAGUUUUGUGGCUC